AAGAGGGAAGAGCUCAUCAUUGGAAUCUGGCAGUGUUGCACUGUCCGAGUUGUAGAUGAGGAGUAGUCCGUCUGGACUGCAUGGCGUCCAAGUACAAUAGGCCGUCAGUGGGACAUCAUAGAGGGUGACAAUCCCGUCCUUGACGCUAAUGUGCAAGUCUAUUACGAUGGCUAUCUCAGAGAGUCGAGCAGUUUGGGAUUUGCUGCUUAAACAUGGGAGGUAGAUUCCUUCUAAAGCUAAAUACAGGCGAGAGACCGAUAGAGAACAAGUACCGCAAGGGAAAGAUGAAAUAGCACUCUGUGAAGGGAGUCAAAAGGCGUGAAAUUGUUGCGAGAGAAGCGAUUCAAGUCAGCGUAGCUAGGCCCAUCAAGCGUCUUCGCUUUGGACUAGCUUUGCCAGCGGUCUUGUCCCUUAAAGAGACUUGACUUGUAAUAUGUCCAGCCUGGCGUGCACAGGCAGCCCCUUCUGGGGGCCAGUGGCAUGGCUGGUGGAAUGGCUUGCAAUCGACCCGUCUUGAAACACGGACCAAGGAGUCUAACAUGUAUGCGAGUAUAAGGGUGGCAAACCCGUAUGCGCAAUGAAAGUGAUUUUCGGUGAUUGAGAAUGGCCUGAUGACCAGACAAGCAAUACAUGUCCCUCGUACGGCCAUUGCCCAAGUUCCGUGGUAGAUCCCACGAACAUGGAGUUGGAGCAUACAUGCUAGGACCCGAAAGAUGGUGAACUAUGCCUGGACAAAGCGAAGCCAAAGGAAACUCUGGUGGAGGCUUGUAGCGAUUCUGACGUGCAAAUCGAUCGUCUGAUCUG
rnacentral:rRNA from 1 species